rnacentral:rRNA from 1 species
GAUGAACGCUAGCUACAGGCUUAACACAUGCAAGUCGAGGGGUAACGAGAGGGAAGCUUGCUUUCCUUGUCGACGACCGGCGCACGGGUGAGUAACGCGUAUCCAACCUGCCCCCAACUAGGGAAUAACCUUGCGAAAGUAAGACUAAUACCCUAUAAUUUCCUCAGAUGUCAUCUGACGAGGAAUAAAGAUUUAUCGGUUGUGGAUGGGGAUGCGUCUGAUUAGCUUGUUGGCGGGGUAACGGCCCACCGAGGCAACGAUCAGUAGGGGUUCUCAGAGGAAGGUCCCCCACAUUGGAACUGAGACACGGUCCAAACUCCUACGGGAGGCAGCAGUGAGGAAUAUUGGUCAAUGGGCGGAAGCCUGAACCAGCCAAGUAGCGUGCAGGAUGACGGCCCUAUGGGUUGUAAACUGCUUUUAUACAGGAAUAAAGUUAGCCACGUGUGGUUAUUUGUAGGUACUGUAUGAAUAAGGACCGGCUAAUUCCGUGCCAGCCGCCGCAGUAA